rnacentral:rRNA from 1 species
UACGGAGGGUGCAAGCGUUAUCCGGAUUCACUGGGUUUAAAGGGUGUGUAGGCGGGUAUUUAAGUCAGUGGUGAAAUCUCCGGGCUCAACCCGGAAACUGCCAUUGAUACUAUUUAUCUUGAAUUCUGUUGAGGUAGGCGGAAUAUAUCAUGUAGCGGUGAAAUGCUUAGAUAUGACAUAGAACACCGAUAGCGAAGGCAGCUUACUACAGGAUGAUUGACGCUGAGGCACGAAAGCGUGGGGAGCAAACAGG